rnacentral:rRNA from 1 species
AUUGAACGCUGGCGGAAUGCUUUACACAUGCAAGUCGAACGGCAGCACGGACUUCGGUCUGGUGGCGAGUGGCGAACGGGUGAGUAAUGUAUCGGAACGUGCCCAGUCGUGGGGGAUAACGUAGUGAAAAUUACGCUAAUACCGCAUACGAUCUAUGGAUGAAAGCGGGGGAUCGCAAGACCUCGCGCGAUUGGAGCGGCCGAUAUCAGAUUAGGUAGUUGGUGGGGUAAAGGCCCACCAAGCCAACGAUCUGUAGCUGGUCUGAGAGGACGACCAGCACCACUGGAACUGAGACACGGUCCAGACUCCUACGGGAGUCAGCAGUGGGGAAUUUUGGACAAUGGGCGAAAGCCUGAUCCAGCCAUUCCGCGUGCAGGAUAAAGGCCCUCGGGUUGUAAACUGCUUUUGUACAGAACGAAAAGGUUUCUACUAAUACUAGGAGCUCAUGACGGUACUGUAAGAAUAAGCACCGGCUAACUACGUGCCAGCCGCCGCAGUAA